GUACACGUUUGGUGGAGGAACCAGACUGAAUGUUGGAAGUGAUACCCGUCCCAUCCUGACAGUGUUGCCCCCCCUCCAGUGAGGAGCUACAGCAGGGGACUGCAACAAUCACAUGUCUGGCCAACAAGGGCUUCCCCUCAGACUGGAGUCUGUCCUGGAAGGUGGAUGGCAGUGGCAGCAUCAGCUGGGAGGAGAGCAGGAGCCCCGUGGUGCUGCAGAAUGACGGCCUCUACAGCUGGAGCAGCACCCUGAGGCUCCCUGCAGACCGCUGGAUGAAGGUGGGCUCUGUGACCUGUGAGGCCACCCAGGGCUGCCAGACUCUGGUCUCAGAGCCACUGAGGAGAGUCCAGUGUUCCCAGUCCUGACCUGACUCAACCUGAUACUGGUUUAAUGCUCUCAUUCUCAACUCUGUAACUGUCUCUCCAUCUUUCUUUUUAAAGAACAAAUAAAGACUAAAACUGUUAUUUUCUUUCUCAUAAUGACAACAUUCAUGUUUUAGGUAAUAAAGAUGUUUUGCA